rnacentral:rRNA from 1 species
AACGUAGGACGCAAGCGUUAUCCGGAGUUACUGGGCGUAAAGCGCGUGUAGGCGGCCCGGUAAGUCCGCUGUGAAAGUCGGGGGCUCAACCCUCGAAAGCCGGUGGAUACUGUCGGGCUCGAGUGCGGAAGAGGCGAGUGGAAUUCCUGGUGUAGCGGUGAAAUGCGCAGAUAUCAGGAGGAACACCGAUUGCGAAGGCAGCUCGCUGGGACGUUACUGACGCUGAGACGCGAAAGCGUGGGGAGCAAACAGG